rnacentral:rRNA from 1 species
GACGAACGCUGGCGGCGUGCUUAACACAUGCAAGUCGAACGAUGAAGCUGGAGCUUGCUCCGGUGGAUUAGUGGCGAACGGGUGAGUAACACGUGAGCAAUCUGCCCUUGACUCUGGGAUAACUGCGGGAAACUGUAGCUAAUACCGGAUACGAGGCUCGAAGGCAUCUUCGGGUCUGGAAAGAAUUUCGGUCAAGGAUGAGCUCGCGGCCUAGCAGCUUGCUGGUGAGGUAAUGGCUCACCAAGGCGACGACGGGUAGCCGGCCUGAGAGGGUGACCGGCCACACUGGGACUGAGACACGGCCCAGACUCCUACGGGAGGCAGCAGUGGGGAAUAUUGCACAAUGGGCGAAAGCCUGAUGCAGCAACGCCGCGUGAGGGAUGAAGGCCUUCGGGUUGUAAACCUCUUUUAGCAGGGAAGAAGCGAAAGUGACGGUACCUGCAGAAAAAGCACCGGCUAACUACGUGCCAGCAGCCGCGGUAA